UGCGGUCACUGACCUGCUCUGAAGCUCGCUCAUCUUCUGGCCCUGAUCGAACCCACCUGAUCUCCACACCCACCUGCUUACCUUCUUACCAUCUUGAGAGGAGAGGCCCACAUCCAACAGGGAGUGUCAGAAAGGCAGUUGGAGGCCCUCGUGGUCACUGACCUGCUCUGACGCUCACUCACCUGCCUGCCCUGCUCUGACCCACCUGAUCCCCACACCCGCCUGGUUACCUCGUUACCAUCUUGAGGAGAGGCCCACAUCCAACAGCGAGAGUCAGAAAGGCAGUUGGAGGCCCUGUGGUCUCUGACCUGCUCUGACGCUCGUCCAUUUCUCCACCUCUCCCACCCCGUCCCUGGGUGCAUUUCCACCAAA